rfam:Xenorhabdus beddingii strain DSM 4764 Xbed_3, whole genome shotgun sequence.
AUGGUCACUACAAAAACCACCACGACGAUUACCACCGGAACCCUAAGUUGCGGUGCGGGCUAACGCGUACACAUAAAAUAAUAAUGAGCCCGUAUCCCACAAGAUACGGGCUUUUUUUUU